rnacentral:lncRNA from 1 species
UAAUAUUCCAAGUAGUAACAAUCAUGAAGUAUUAGAUCUAAUACUCCAAGAAGGUCCUGGAUCCACUUGGAAUCCCCUUCUAUCAUCAGCCAUAAUAGUUGCCACAGCCUUCCCUUUUUCUGCAAUUGCAUUUAUGUCCUCACUGGUUACAGGAAGAUCCCCUGAAGCUGCUGUGAUCCUGCUAUGUUCAUCUAAUAUCUGCUGAGGUCCACUAGUAUUCACCAUCUGCAUAUCUUCAGUAUGACCACUUGAAUUUGCCUCCACUUGAUUGGUUUCAGUAACAAUUUUAUCUUCCCCAGUAUCUGCUACAUCUGCAGUGGCUUUUGGAAUUUACUCUUGCCUUGGGUAUUGUCUUGGUCUCCUAGUUCUUUUCCUUUUCUCUUUCAC